rnacentral:misc_RNA from 1 species
AUUCAAUAACCCUCUUUCUAAAUCUUCAAAGCUUCAACAGCAACUAGGGCAGAAAAGAAGAAGAAGAAGAAGAAGUCAUGGAAGGCUUAAUUCCUUAUCUCCUUCAUGCAAUGAAGAANNNNNNCAACCGCUAGGGUUUUUUCCCUGAGGGCAAAAGCCGUAGCUACCAUUUGUUAGUAGGCGGCGGGGACUCGUUCAAUGGCUCUUCUCACCGGCGAACCAGGUCGGAGUUCCAGCAACCAAACAUGGAGUUUUUGGAGCAAAGGUCUGGUCUGGAAUAUCUACAAUAUUCAAGCAACUUGAGAAAACGCUCGGUGAAUUCACCUUCAACGGCUGCNNAAGCUUACUAGCUCUUAUAAUAAUCCUCACUAUGGGAAAAACAAUAUUUUCUAAUCUCAGGC